CAGCCGUAAACUAUGCUCGCUAGGUGUCAGGGACGGUGCGACCGUUUCUGGUGCCGCAGGGAAGCCGUGAAGCGAGCCACCUGGGAAGUACGGUCGCAAGGCUGAAACUUAAAGGAAUUGGCGGGGGAGCACUACAACGGGUGGAGCCUGCGGUUUAAUUGGACUCAACGCCGGGAAGCUUACCGGAUAAGACAGCGGAAUGAUUGCCGGGCUGAAGACCCUGCAUGACCAGCUGAGAGGAGGUGCAUGGCGUAGACGUCU
rnacentral:rRNA from 1 species